rnacentral:misc_RNA from 1 species
AGGACGAGGAGGAACUUCUGUAUCUUUUGUCACCCAGUUUGAUGUGAAACUUAUCCAGGCUGUUGAGAGUUAUAUAAAUACUAAACUAAGCCUGUAUGAAGUCGAUGAAAAGGAAGUUACUAAAAUUCUUGUUGACGUUAUGAUGGCUAAAAGUGAAGCAGAAAUUGUGUUGGAUGAAAGAAAUUUUGGGGAAUAUAAAUGGAUACAUAAACGCAAAAGAGGUGUCUUAGAAGGAGAGAUUAGAAACCAUAGCCAGAA